GACAGAGGUGCCAAGCGUUAGGCGGAAUCACUGGGCUUAAAGCGUGUGUAGGCGGAUCGUUAAGUACCUUGUGAAAUCCCACGGCUCAACCGUGGAACUGCUCGGUAUACUGGCGAUCUUGAGCCACCUAGGGGCAACUGGAACAAGCGGUGGAGCGGUGAAAUGCGUAGAUAUCGCUUGGAACGCCAACGGUGAAAACAGGUUGCUGGGGGGUGUGCUGACGCUGAGGCACGAAAGCCAGGGGAGCGAACGGG
rnacentral:rRNA from 1 species